rnacentral:rRNA from 1 species
GAUGAACGCUGGCGGCGUGCCUAAUACAUGCAAGUAGAACGCUGAAGGAAGGAGCUUGCUCUUUCCGGAUGAGUUGCGAACGGGUGAGUAACGCGUAGGUAACCUGCCUGGUAGCGGGGGAUAACUAUUGGAAACGAUAGCUAAUACCGCAUAACAGUAGAUGCUGCAUGACAACUAUUUGAAAGGGGCAAUUGCUCCACUACCAGAUGGACCUGCGUUGUAUUAGCUAGUUGGUGAGGUAACGGCUCACCAAGGCGACGAUACAUAGCCGACCUGAGAGGGUGAUCGGCCACACUGGGACUGAGACACGGCCCAGACUCCUACGGGAGGCAGCAGUAGGGAAUCUUCGGCAAUGGACGGAAGUCUGACCGAGCAACGCCGCGGGAGGGAAGAAGGUUUUCGGAUCGUAAAGCUCUGUUGUAAGAGAAGAACGAGUGUGAGAGUGGAAAGUUCACACUGUGACGGUAUCUUACCAGAAAGGGACGGCUAACUACGUG